rnacentral:rRNA from 1 species
UUUAGAAUAGUAAAUAGUCGUAACAAGGUUUCCGUAGGUGAACCUGCGGAAGGAUCAUU